UACAGAGGGUGCGAGCGUUAAUCGGAAUUACUGGGCGUAAAGCGCACGUAGGCGGCUUGGUAUGUCGGGUGUGAAAUCCCCGGGCUCAACCUGGGAACUGCAUCCGAAACUGCCUUGCUAGAGUAUGGGAGAGGGAAGUGGAAUUUCCGGUGUAGCGGUGGAAUGCGUAGAGAUCGGGAAGAAUACCCGUGGCGAAGGCGGCCAGCUGGGCCAGGUCCGACACUGAGGCGCGAAAGCGUGGGGAGCAAACAGG
rnacentral:rRNA from 1 species